rnacentral:tRNA from 1 species
GGCGGUUUGGCUCAGUGGUAGAACACUUGCCUAGUAUGUGCAAGGCCCUGGGUUCCAUCCCCAGCACCGCCC